rnacentral:rRNA from 1 species
CAGUAGCCGCGGGAAUACGAAGGUCCCAAGCGUUGUUCGGAAUCACUGGGCGUAAAGGGAGCGUAGGCGGCGUGGUAAGUCAGAUGUGAAAUCCCGGGGCUCAACCCCGGAACUGCAUCCGAUACUGCCAUGCUUGAGGGUUGGAGAGGUAGCUGGAAUUCUUGGUGUAGCAGUGAAAUGCGUGGAUAUCAAGAGGAACACUCGUGGCGAAGGCGAGCUACUGGACAACAUCUGACGCUGAGGCUCGAAGGCCAGGGUAGCGAAAGGGAUUAGAUACCCCUGUAGUCCCUGUCUCUUAUAC